CGGGUUGUCACGCCAGUGGCACUGCCCGGUAGCUAAGUUCGGAAUCGAUAACCGCUGAAAGCAUCUAAGCGGGAAGCGAGCCCUGAGAUGAGUCAUCCCUGACCCCUUGAGGGUCCUAAAGGGCCGUUGGAGACCACAACGUUGAUAGGCGGGGUGUGUAAGUGCAGCGAUGCAUUGAGCUAACCCGUACUAAUUACCCGUGAGGCUUAACCAUACAACACCCAAGAAGUGUUC
rnacentral:rRNA from 1 species